rnacentral:lncRNA from 1 species
GUCGAAGGUGUGGUUAAGUGACUAAAGUAGAAUGGAAAAAUUAGUCGCUUACAGCUAGUAGAUGUCGCGAAUGACUCUCUACCAAAGUUGCUCGUGUAAUGAGUAACUUUGAGUUAGGGACUGGAUCACAUACCUCAGUUUGGACUUCACCCGAUUUGAUGGCCAUAUUGGCUCUGGCCUUCUUCGGGUAGGGACAUUCCCUCGAAAAGUGUCCCGCUUCACCGCAGUUGUAGCAUACAUUGUUUCCCACGCUGCUAUACGACUUGACCUUCUUAUCCGUGGGUUUGUCUUUUUUCGCUUGACUCCCCCAUGUACUCGCUCGCUGGCCACCGGAUUUGCCUUUCCGGAACCCCGAGGGCUCAUAUUCUUAGAGAAGCUCUUCUUGAAUUUCCCUCUGCUAAACGUUCCCCUUGGUUUGGCCCCUUUCCUAAACGUGGAUCCCGACCCCGUCGUGUUCCCCUUUCGCAGGUUAUCAUUGAAAUGCACCUUGAUGGCCGCAUCCAACGCUUCCUUGUAGUUGGUCGGGUUCCACCACAUCACUUCACCGCGAGCCUAGGUUUGCAAACCUAAUAUGAAGGCAUGGAACACAUCCAUAUCCCCCAUGUCCGUGACAAGUAUCCUCUUUGCCAUAAACCCAUUCUCAUACUCCUGAAUGGUUCUGGUCUGCUUCAGCCUACUCAACUUGUCUCUUAGAUGCAGAGUAGCAUUCGGAGGAACGUAAGUCGCGCGGAUCCUCGCCUUCAUCAUUUCCCAAGUGGCCAUCGGUCCUUCGUUGGCCUCUGUCGUUCUCCACCAGGACUUGGCAUUAUCUGCCAAGUAUGGUUUUGCACAUGGGACUUUCUCCGAGCUUGGUAACCGCAACGCUCGGAAGUAGUCCUCCAUAUCAUAAAACCAAUCCUCCACCACCUUAUAGUCAUUCACUCCCUUGAAGACCGGUGGGGGCUUUGGUUUAUACUUGGGAACUACCUGAGGGACUGAUUCCACUUCGGUUUGUUCGACUUUGUUUGGUUCUGCCUCAGUCCCUACCGAAGGGUCCGCACCCUCUGCGCUGCUAGCAUCUGCAGUCUUUCACUUUUUCUUCCGCUUCUCGUCACGCUUUAACUUGCGUACGAGAGUCUCUAGCAGGGCAUUGGUUUGUGCCAAUUAUCCUUCUAGAACGUUCAAUCGAGCAUUGGACGACCGAACCUCACCACCAGACUCAUGUUUGGAAGUUGCCUCACUGGAGUCCUCCUCGUGCAAGGAUUCCUCAUCCAUAGCCUCCUGUUCGACCGGAGGCUCCAGCUCUAGAGGAGGUUCCGUCUCCGCCUGAGUUUGCUUACGUCCUGCCCUUGCCAUCCCCUAGCAAUCCGCCUCUAUCCUUCGCUAGAACUGAGAAAGAGGUUCCGAUACCAAAUUGUAAGCCACAAAUUUUUCCUUUCCAAUUUGCUAGCUUACCUUGUCUAUCCGACCAACUCUGCCUUGGCUCGUGCUAAGUUCCCUCGCCAAGGUUCUCGCCUAUGGUACCAGCUCCUACUUAAUUCUACUUGGUUUCAGCUACUCACUGCACGAGCAAUGGAGUGUUAACCAUCCAUCUACGGAUUCCCAAAUCUCUCCCAAUCCCCCUCCCCGGGUUAGACUGGGCUUAAGGUUCGGCUACACUCCCCGCAGGCACAAGCAGCCAAGCACACCAAGCCUCUAGGUUCCUAACACCCCUUGGUACCACAAGACUUGAUCAUGGGACCCUCUAAAUCCCAAGUCUUGGGUGCAACACUUGCUUCGGGACGUCGGGGCGAAACACCGUGGCCUAACGGCCCGGUAUGCCCCACUUCCAUCCCGAAGGGAAGGCCUAAGCCCCUAGGAAGGGCGAGGACCAAUGAGCCACAAGGUAUUCAAGUGGGGCACCACUCCACAUGAGUCGGGAGCACCGCAGUCGGUUUCCCUUUCGGGAGUGGGAGCUGCUCUUGAGCACUUCCCUGGGUGGCCCCUCUAGCACCACUCAAGCCCAUGCUCACUCCCACCCAAGGCCCCUUGGCCCCAGUCUCAACCUCAAGUCAGUUUGGAAGCACCACUGAAGAGUUCCUUCAAGACUGGUUCCUGGACCUCACUAUCCCUACUAUACUUUUGGAACCCCCUGCAGCCCCCCCCCCCCCCUGGGAGACGCACGCUUUGGGCUUUCACCCCUUGACCCGUAUUAGUAUUUGGACUUAGUCUCUGGCUCGAUCUCGGACCCGAUUUUGGAUCCGACUUCGGAUUCAGUCUUGGACUCGAUCUCGAACUCGAUCUCGGACCCGAUCUCGGACUCGACCUCGGACUCGACCUCGGACUCGGUCUCGGACCCGAUUUCAGAUCUCAAACUCUGUCUCGAACUCGGACUCAAACUCAGUCCCCGAGUCGGUCUCGGACUCGAUUCCAGACUCUAUCUCGAACUCGGUCCUAGAGUCGGUCUUGGAGUCGAUCUUCGACUUGGUCCCAUCCGAUGAACUCUUUGUCAUUUUGGUCAUGCUUUUGGGGUUUCUUUAGCCUACGACACCUCGGCGAGUUGGUUCCUUACACUUCAAUAGCUCGCCCAUUGAUGAUUUCCCAAGGACUUGCCCCAAUACUCGAAUGUGGUGAAUUGUUAUGGUAUAUUUCUACAAGUCCCAAAUGACUUAUUCAAUCAGUCUGGUUUCUGGAGAUAUAACAUCGCAAAUAAUCUUCCAACUGCCUAUUCACCUUUUCCAUUUGUUUAUAUGUCAAGAAGUGUUAUUACUAUCAUACUUGAUUUAAUACCUAAUACCUUUUUAUGGGUGAUAAACUAUGCUAAAUUUUAACUUGGUGCAAUACUACUCCAUGAGAGUUCUCUAGAACUUAUUGGUGAAAAUCUUAUCUCAAUCUGAGAUAAUUUCUUUUGGCCUUCCCCACACUCAAACCACUUGUUUGAAGAAUAGUUUAACCACACCUUUCGCAUCCACUUCCAUUAUGGUGGGUAUGAAAUGUAUUAUCUUAGAAAAUCAAUCCACACCACAAAUAUCACAUCAAACCCCUUACUUAGGAGGAGUCCCGUAAUGAAGUCCAUCAUAAGACAUUUCUGAGGACAAUUUGGAAUUAUAAGACUUUAUAAUAAACCCCCACUAGCCUUAGUUAUGGCUUUGACUUAUUGAGAUAUUAGACAUGUCUUUACAUAAUCUUAAAUGUCUUUAACCAUGUUUGGCUAGUGAUACUUUCUCUUGAGUAAAUCCAUAAUCUUAGGAUUUUGCCAAGGGGAAAAAUAAUACAAGGUCAAGGCCAUCCUCAAUGCAUGCAAAAGCAAGUGAUAAGAACAUAAGGUGAGGGAGUUUUAUGUAAAGUGGAAAGAAUUUCCACUCUGCGAAACAACAUAGGAACCGAAGGAGAAUUUAGCGAACAUACAAGAUCUAGUGGAGGAAUUUUUGCAAAGUAGAACUCUAUAUAUUUAUCCAAAGUUCAAUUAAAAUAUUCAUUUAUGAAAUUGAGCAAUAUCACAUGUUAGGACUUAAACGCGUGUUAAAGGUAAACUAAUUAAUAUGGGUUUAACUAAGUCAACCACACAUUUUAAGACAAUUCAAUUUACAGUCUUUAUAUUGGCCGUUAGGUGAGAAUUCAUAAACAUGGAAAUGUACAACUUGGAGGUCAAUGUUAAGGAUUUCUCCUGGCUGGCCGCCUCUUCAUGCUUGAAUUAGGGGAGACAGACUAGUAUUUUCCCAUCUUGUAAAGAGUGAAAAUUGAAAUUAAAAUUAUUAAGAUGUCCUAUAUAAUAUAGAUGCUAAUGGGAUUGGAGGACAAAUAACUAUAGCACUUGUCAUUGUAGCAUAUUUGAAUCCAUCCGUCUCAUGUUUCUUAUGGGGUAUUGUGAGACUUUGCAAAUAUGGCAUGCAAUUUGUAAAAAAUAUAACUUUGCACACUUAAAUUUUAUGUCCACAUGCCAAAUGUUUAUUGGAUAAUCUUUUGAUGCCUGAACAUCUAUGACAUAUGGGUCAUGGAUGGCGGAAUGACUUGGGCUUGCAGUGGGCAAGCUCAAGGGCAUCAUGCACAAGUGAUCAAACCGGCCUCAAGCUGGGAGGAGGACUAGUAGCAGUCCAAGAACCAUAAGAUUGUUGAUGCCAAGGGCCAAGUAUUGCAAGCAUUGUGUCAACUUGUGGAUUGCAACAAGUUAGGCUUGACAGUGCAUGAUCAAGAGCUCAACAAUCCAUCCUUCCUGUGCCAGCUCCAUGUCUUGGAAAGGGUCUUCAGGAUCCACAGAUGAUGGCAAUUGCCAAGAUCUCAAGAGCAUCAUCCUCAAGCUUUAGUCAUCAUGAAGGCCAGGCAUCAAGCUGCUCCACAGAUAACUUGUGGCAGUCCAAGGAGGUUUUCCAGCCCCAGAACUUCCGGCUCUCCAUGACCAAGCUCUAAGGGGAUUUGUCUGCCAUCCUUUUAUCAUAUAUCUGACUUGGGCAUAUGAUAAUUAGCUUGAACUCCUGAUGGCUUUCUGCUAGGAAUACUGUGACUCAAUGUACUUUCACCUGCUCGAACCUCUCAGCUCUCAUUUCUGGCAAGGCAAUCCACAAGAAAUCUACAAAAUUUUGUCACUUAGCAAGAUUCCAAGCUCUCAUGUAUUGUAUUAGAAGAUAACUUUCACCAUGGUGUUUUUAAUGCCUGGACAACACGACCUAGUGUUUCCAAUCAGUUGCAAGCAAAAUCUUUCCUCUUUUAACUAUAUUAUAGAUCUUUUUUGUGGAAGAAAAAAAAUCUCACCAAUAACUUUUCCUUUGUUAUCCAGCAAGAAAAGAUGGUAGCAUAAUGGUUGGCAUCGGUUUUAACACUAAAUUUACCCUUGCUAACUGACUAGUAUCUUGAUAAACCGUUAACUAGAAAAAGAGAUUUAAACAUAAUUAACAUAUAAAUUAGGGUUUAUGAUGAAGAAGAAGAAGAAGAGGGGCAACAAGAAGGCGCCAAUCCCGGAAUCCAGCUCGGAUCAGGCGCAAGGAGUGGCGAUGGCGGGAGAGGAGGAGGAGGAGGCGGUGAGAAAGGUAGUGGAAUGGCCAGAGGAUGGAGGAUUGACGCGAGAAUGGGUAAUCGGCGUGGGCGAGACCCUGGCGGAGGCGGCCUCCAUGCUGAGGCCGCAAGCACUGCGCCAGGUAGUGCCAGUUGGGGUCGCCGAUUCGCUCAUCGCCAGGGCUUCCAAGAUCAUGCACAAGGAGCCCAAUUGCUUGCGCCUGGAGCCGCCACGGUCGAGCUCCAGUAGCAUCGUCCUGGUGGGCGAUUUGCACGGCCAGCUCCAUGAUUUGCUCCAUCUCUUUGAUCUGGCCGGCCUCCCCGACGAGGAACGAAUGUUUGUGUUUAACGGGGACUAUGUGGAUCGAGGAGCGUGGGGAUUCGAGACUUACUUUCUCCUCCUUGCUUGGAAGGUAUGAUCUCAGAAUCACGUUUUCUUUUUUACUUCUCUCUGGUGGUAGUGAAAGGUGGUAUUGUUCUUACUUUUUUUCUUCAGGUAUUGCUACCUCACCGAGUGUUUCUUCUGCGAGGAAACCACGAGACAAAGUUCUGUACGAGCGUCUACGGCUUCGAGAAAGAGAUCUCCGUCAAGUUUGGGGAGCAUUCUAAGCAUGUCUACCGCAAGCUCUUGGGAUGUUUCGAGGGCCAUCCUCUGGCGGCGGUGAUAGCCGGCAAAGUUUUCAUGGCACACGGUGGCUUGUUCCGGAGCUUGGAACUGGGGCCUUCUACGCGAUCUUUCUUGGUGAGAGCUGCUGCUAAGCUCAAGCUGGGUGAUCUGGACGACCUUGCAAAGUCGAGAAGAGGCGUGCUGGAUCCGUCGGCCGUGGGAAACAACGUGAUACCGGGUGAUAUCUUGUGGUCCGAUCCAUCUCCAAACCCGGGGCUUGCGAGCAACGAAGGUCGAGGGAUCGGGCUUGUUUUUGGACCGGAUUGUACUCAAGAGUUUAUGGACAAGCACAAGCUAAAGGUAAGGUGGUGUUUUGCGUCGUUUGCUCACGAUCAUUGGCAUUGUUCGGCAGUGCAGCUUAUAGUGAGAUCUCACGAGGGGCCGGAUGCGAGACAGAAGCGUCCCGAGAUGGCGAGCAUGGACAAAGGCUACACGAUCGACCACGUUGUCAAGGCUGGAAAGCUCAUCACUCUGUUCAGUGCUCCCGACUAUCCCCAGUUUCAGGUUGGCCUUCUUCAUUUCGUGUUUUCUUUCUCCGUAAAUGCAACGAAGUUUCGAUUGUCAACAAUGGCAGGCGACCGAAACUCGGUUUAACAACAAAGCAGCCUACAUUGUUUUGGAACCACCGGAUUUUUGCGAGCCCGACAUUCGUGUUUUUGAGGCGGUCCUCCCGCGGCCACAUGUAAGCAAUUUCGUUUUGAUACUUCCAUCCACCGCUUUGGUUGCUUUUCCGCAGGUUAUGCCGUAUUACGAUCAUGUUAAUGUUAUGGAUUCAGACGACGAGCUAGAUCUGCCAAAAGACGGAUAAAACAAAUCUAGAAAAAUGCCACGAUCGCCACCAUUAAGGUCCUCGUGGGCGUUGGACUUUUAUGCUCGUAGGAGUCAAGAAAAUUAUUGACAAUAUAUUUCCGAGUGAGAGCUGCAAGAGAGCUGCGACAAGGAGAAAAUGGCGAGUGAUUUUGUUUUGGUUGUGGCGGCAGCACUAUCGAUCACUGCUGUGCUAUGGAAGCUAUGGAGGAGUAGAAUUAAAUCAUCUCUUCUUCCUCCAGGUCCCAUUGGGCUUCCACUGAUCGGCCAUCUCCACUUGCUCUUUGCCAAUCCUCCGCACACCGUGCUCCAGAGGCUGUCGGCUCGCCAUGGACCGAUCAUGUCACUGCGAUUCGGGCAUGUUCCAGUGGUUGUCGCCUCCAGCCCAGCAGCCGCCAAGGAGUUCCUCAAGACCCACGACGCCGCCUUUGCGUCUCGCCCGCCGAGCGCCGCCGGGAGGAUCAUCGUCCACUACAACGCCGACAUCGUUUUCGCCCCCUAUGGCGACUCGUGGCGGCACUUGCGCAAGAUCGCGACGCUGGAGCUCCUCACAGCUCGCCGGAUUGACAUGUUUCGGGGCGCGAGAAUGGAAGAGGUAAAAUCCAUGUGCCGAUCGCUACUAGUGGCGGACGAUUGCGAGACAGGGAUCGUGGAUGUUCGUGGGCGACUGACUGCACUCACCUUCAAUCUCAUCACUUUCAUGCUCAUGGGCAAGCGCUACUUUGGCAAAGAUGCAGAGAAUGAUGAAGGGGCAAGGAAGUUCUUAGAGGUAAUUGCAGGUACGUUUGAGGUAUGUGGAGAGUUUCCAAUUGGGGAUUAUUUCCCAUGGUUCCCCAAAUUCCUGGAUCCAGCAGAACGUCGUAUGCAUUUCCUAGCUAAAUCCUUGCACAAAUUCCUUAGUGACAAUAUCACCGAGCACGAGAAUAGGAGAAAUAACAGUGAGAAAAAUAACACUGACAAAGAUUUCUUGGACAUCCUUCUCUCUCUGAGAGACAAUGGUGAUGAGCAUCUACAAAACAAAAACAUCAUAAGUGUCAUGACGGUAAGAAGAAAAGUUUAUCAAUUCGGUCAAUCAGUCUCAUCACUCGAGAUCUUUUUCUUGGCAGAACUUGGUCACAGCUGGAACCGACACCUCAGCAGUGACACUCGAGUGGGCAAUGGCUGAGUCGAUAAAAAACCCCACCAUUGCCGCCAAAGCCCGAGAAGAAAUCGAGCUAGUUCUCGGCGAGAAGUGGAGGACGAAGAUGGUGGAAGAGCCUGAUCUUUCACAGCUAACUUAUCUCCAAGCCAUCGUCAAGGAGACACUCCGGCUGCAUCCUGCGGUACCGCUGCUGGUCCCCCACCAAUCCACCGAGGCGGUUAGCAAUGUAAUGGGGUACCAUGUUCCGCGCGGCACGACGGUGCUCAUCAACGCCUACACCAUCGCCAGAGACUCUACCGCCUGGGGUGACGACGCGCUGCUCUUCCGGCCCGAGAGAUUCCUUGGCACAGAUCUGGACAUCCGGGGCAGGGACUUCGAGGCGGUGCCGUUUGGAUCGGGGCGGCGACAAUGCCCAGGAAUGGCACUGGCGCUCACCACUGUCCAUCUCACGCUCGCCAACCUCCUCCAUGGAUUCGAGUGGAGAGAGCCCAGCGGUGAGAGCAUCGACACGAGCAAGGAGCAGUAUGGAUUGGCGCUGCUCUUGGCAAAGAAGCUGCGACUGAUCGCCACCCCACGGCUAGAACAAGGUACCUUAUAGCUCCGAUCCAAAGAAAGCUUGGAAGAAUAGCUUCCUUGACAAACCAUGAAUAAGAAAGAAACCACGAACUUUGCACUAUCUCUCCAAACGGACACUGCCGGCCUCAUCAGGAGCCUCCUUGCGAAUGCGAUUUUUGCAUGGCAUGGAUAUUUUUAUAACAAAUAUAAAGAUAAUUUGUAAGUAUUAAAUAUUCUGAAGAAAUUGUUGAAGACUUGGAAAAGAAUAGACCAAGAGUAGAUUGUUGGAUCUAAUUUGAUUUCCAAGUGUGAUUGAAGCUCUUGUUAAUGUUCAGCUUAUCAGCGGCUUGACAACAUCUACGUUAUUGCUUGCAACGUGCAUAGCUAAUAAGGGGGUCGGCACUCUUGUUCUUCCUUGCAGCCCGCAUAGAUUGGAGCAAGGGAUUGGACAGGUUGCACUCCGAUGACAAGAAGUCCAAAAGCUUAUCUUCAUCUUCGCUUAGAAGAGUUGUGGUGCUCUCCAACAACAGCUUCCAGCAGUGUCCACAUUCCUGAGCUCGACCCUGUGAAGCAGAAACGCACAAGCCCCAAUGAAUUUGAUCCGUGCACCACAUUCUUGCACCAAGCUUCCCCCCACCAUAUGCUUGAGAAACAUCUCCAAGAAGCAGAAGGCAGUCUAGCGGUACCUGGCCUCGUGCACACGCAUCGUGCAGCUCCUUGAAAGCAUCACUAGCCAGUUCAAAGGCAAUGUUCUUGAAGCCCUGCAGCGAGACAGUCAUAAACCAGGUGCCAAACUCUAAAACUGAUCUCCACUUGCUCUCAGAUACCAAGCUUCUCCAAUGCUGGCGCAUCCUCAUCUCUGCUUGUGUUGUGGCUUGCAACUGGCCGUAGUCUGAAAUGCUGGUGUAGAGAUAACUCAGCUUCUGGUGUGCAUUGCCAUGCCUCUAACGCCAUCGUAAACUCUAUCAUCUCAGCUUGGGGGAAGAAAGCCUUGGGAGGGCGUAGCUCUGGGAGAGGCUUCACUUCCAUAGCUUGCCUGUUCAGCCGCCGCUCCAGCACGCUUCCCUUCUGCAAUCUAUUUCCUACCACCUUUCUAAUCUCAGGCUUGGAUAUCCCCUCCCAGGAACCAUACGCCAACACAUCCAGCGACUGUUGGAUUUGGAUGGAAUCCCCCUUGUUCUUCUUCAGUGCCUACAAAGCUUUCGUAAGCAUCAUCAGAUCUGUGGAGCAUGUUCUAUUUUUAUAGCUUGGAUCGUUAAAAGGUACUUUGUUCCAGGCGAGGGGUGGAGAUCAAUCGCAGCUUGUUUGCCAUGAGCAACGUCAAUCCAUAUUGCUCGUUGCUCGUGUUGAUACUCUCACCGCUGGGUUCUCCACUCGAAUCCAUGGAGGAGGUUGGCGAGCGUGAGAUGGACAGUGGUGAGUGCCAGUGCCAUUCCCGGGCAUUGUCGCCGCCCCGAUCCAAACGGCACUGCCUCGAAGUCCCUGCCCCGGAUGUCCAGAUCCGUGCCAAGGAAUCUCUCGGGCCGGAAGAGCAGCGCAUCGUCACCCCAGGCGGAAGAGUCUCUGGCGAUGGCAUAGGCGUUGAUGAGCACCGUCGAAGAAGAGCGGCAACAAGAAGGCGCCAAUCCCGGAAUCCAGCUCGGAUAGGCGCAAGGAGUAGCGAUGGCGGCAGAGGAGGAGGCGGUGAGCAAGGUAGUGGAAUGGCCAGAGGAUGGGGAUUGACGCGAGAAUGGGUAAUCGGCGUGGGCGAGACCCUGGCGGAGGCGGCCUCCAUGCUGAGGCCGCAAGCACUGCGCCAGGUAGUGCCAGUCGCGGUCGCCGAUUCGCUCAUCGCCAGGGCUUCCAAGAUCAUGCACAAGGAGCCCAAUUGCUUGCGCCUGGAGCCGAUUUGCACGGCCAGCUCCAUGAUUUGCUCCAUCUCUUCGAUCUGGCCGGCCUCCCCGACGAAUGUUUGUGUUUAACGGGGACUAUGUGGAUCGAGGAGCGUGGGGAUUCGAGACUUACUUUCUCCUCCUUGCUUGGAAGGUAUGAUAUCGGUUUUUUUUUUUUACUUCUUUCUGGUGGUAGUGAAAGUUGGUAUUUUUCUUCUUUUCUUCAGGUAUUGCUACCUCACCGAGUGUUUCUUCUGCGAGGAAACCACGAGACAAAGUUCUGUACGAGCGUCUACGGCUUCGAAAAAGAGAACUCCGUCAAGUUUGGGGAGCAUUCCAAGCAUGUCUAUCGCAAGCUCUUGGGAUGUUUCGAGUGCCAUCCUCUGGCGGCGGUGAUAGCCGGCAAAGUUUUCAUGGCACACGGUGGCUUGUUCUGGAGCUUAAAACCGGGGCCUUAUACGCGAUCUUUCUUGGUGAGAGCUGCUGCUAAGCUCAAGCUGGGUGAUCUGGACGACCUUGCAAAGUCGAGAAGAGGCGUGCUGGAUCCGUCGGCCAUGGGAAACAACGUGAUACCGGGUGAUAUCUUGUGGUCCGAUCCAUCUCCAAACCCGGGGCUUGCGAGCAACGAAGGUCGAGGGAUCGGGCUUGUUUUUGGACUGGAUUGUACUCAAGAGUUUAUGGACAAGCACAAGCUAAAGGUAAGGUGGUGUUUUGCGUCGUUUGCUCACGAUCAUUGGCAUUGUUCGGCAGUGCAGCUUAUAGUGAGAUGUCACGAGGGGCCGGAUGCGAGACAGAAGCGUCCCGAGAUGGCGAGCAUGGACAAAGGCUACACGAUCGACCACGUUGUCAAGGCUGGAAAGCUCAUCACUCUGUUCAGUGCUCCCGACUAUCCCCAGUUUCAGGUUGGCCUUCUUCAUUUCGUGUUUUCUUUCUCCGUAAAUGCAACGAAGUUUCGAUUGUCAACAAUGGCAGGUGACCGAAACUCGUUUUAACAACAAAGCAGCCUACAUUGUUUUGGAACCACCGGAUUUUUGCAAGCCCGACAUUUGUGUUUUUGAGGCGGUCCUCCCGCGGCCACAUGUAAGCAAUUUCGUUUUGAUACUUCCAUCCACCGCUUUGGUUGCUUUUCCGCAGGUUAUGCCGUAUUACGAUCAUGUUAAUGUUAUGGAUUCAGACGACGAGCUAGAUCUGCCAAAAGACGGAUAAAACAAAUCUAGAAAAAUUCCACGACUGCCACCUUUGAGGUCCUCGUGGGCGUUGGACUUUUAUGCUUGUAGGAGUCAAGAAGAUCAUCCGUGACAAUAUAUUUCCGAGUGAGAGCUGCAAAAGAGCUGCGACAAGGAGAAAAUGGCGAGUGAUUUUGUUUUGGUUGUGGCGGCAGCACUGUCGAUCACUGCUGUACUAUGGAAGCUAUGGAGGAGUAGAAUUAAAUCAUCUCUUCUUCCUCCAGGUCCCAUUGGGCUUCCACUGAUCGGCCAUCUCCACUUGCUCUAUGCAAAUCCUCCGCACACCGUGCUCCAGAGGCUGUCGGCUCGCCAUGGACCGAUCAUGUCGCUGCGAUUCGGGCAUGUGCCAGUGGUUGUCGCCUCCAGCCCAGCGGCCGCCAAGGAGUUCCUCAAGACCCACGACGCCGCCUUUGCGUCUCGCCCGCUGAGUGCCGCCGGGAGGACCAUCGUCCACUACAACGCCGACAUCGUUUUCGCCCCCUAUGGUGACUCGUGGCGGCACUUGCGCAAGAUCGCGACGCUGGAACUCCUCACAGCUCGCCGGAUUGACAUGUUUCGGGGUGCGAGAAUGGAAGAAGUAAGAUCCAUGUGCCGAUCGCUACUAGUAGCAGACGAUCGCGAGAUGGGGGUCGUGGAUGUUCGUGGGCAAGUGACAGCGCUCACCUUCAAUCUCAUCACUUUGAUGCUCAUGGGCAAGCGUUACUUUGGCAAGGAUAUUGAGAAUGAGAAGGGGGCAAAAAAGUUUUUGGAGGUGAUUGCAAGCACGUUUAAGGUAUGUGGAGAGUUUCCAAUUGGGGAUUAUUUCCCGUGGCUUCCUAAAUUCUUGGAUCCGGCUGAACGUCGUAUGCAUUCCUUGGCUAAAUCUUUACAUGAAUUCCUCAGUGACAACAUCAUUGAGCAUGAAAACAAAAGAAAGAACAAGAAGAAGAAUAACAAUGAUGAAGAUUUUUUGGACAUCCUUCUCUCUCUAAAAGACAAUGGUGAUGAGCAUCUACAAAAUGAAAACAUCAUAAGUGUCAUGACAGUAAGAAGAAGAGUUUAUCAAUUCAAUCAAUCAGUCUCAUCACUCGCAAUCUUUUUCUUGGCAGAACUUGGUCACGGCCGGAACCGACACCUCAGCAGUGACGCUCGAGUGGGCGAUGGCCGAGUCAAUAAAAAACCCCACCAUCGCCGCCAAAGCCCGAGAAGAAAUCGAGCUAGUUCUUGGCGAGAAGUGGAGGACAAAGAUGGUGGAAGAGCCUGAUCUUUCACAGCUAACUUAUCUCCAAGCCAUCGUCAAGGAGACACUCCGGCUGCAUCCUGCGGGACCGCUGCUGGUCCCCCACCAAUCCACCGAGGCGGUUAGCAAUGUAAUGGGGUACCAUGUACCGCGCGGCACGACGGUGCUCAUCAACGCCUAUGCCAUCGCCAGAGACUCUUCCGCCUGGGGUGAUGACGCGCUGCUCUUCCGGCCCGAGAGAUUCCUUGGCACAGAUCUGGACAUCCGGGGCAGGGACUUCGAGGCGGUGCCGUUUGGAUCGGGGCGGCGACAAUGCCCGGGAAUGGCACUGGCGCUCACCACUGUCCAUCUCACGCUCGCCAACCUCCUCCAUGGAUUCGAGUGGAGAGAGCCCAGCGGUGAGAGCAUCGACACGAGCAAGGAGCAGUAUGGAUUGACGCUGCUCUUGGCAAAGAAGCUGCGACUGAUCGCCACCCCACGGCUAGAACAAGGUACCUUAUAGCUCCGAUCCAAAGAAAGCUUGGAAGAAUAGCUUCCUUGAUAAACCAUGAAUAAGAAAGAAACCACGAACUUUGCACUAUCUCUCCAAACGGACACUGCCGGCCUCAUCAGGAGCCUCCUUGCGAAUGAGAUUUUUGCAUGGCAUGGACAUUUUUAUAACAAAUAUAAAGAUAAUUUGUAAGUAUUAAAUAUUCUGAAGAAAUUGUUGAAGACUUGGAAAAGAAUAGACUAAGAGUAGAUUGUUGGAUCUAAUUUGAUUUCCAAGUGUGAUUGAAGCUCUUGUUAAUGUUCAGCUUAUCAGCAGCUUGACAACAUCUACGUUAUUGCUUGCAACGUGCAUAGCUAAUAAAGGGGUUGGCAAAAUCUGCAUCCUUGUUCUUCCUUGCAGCCCGCAUAGAUUGGAGCAAGGGAUUGGACAAGUUGCACUCCGAUGACAAGAAGUCCAAAAGCUUAUCUUCAUCUUCGCUUAGAAGCGUUGUGGUGCUCUCCAACAACAGCUUCCAGCAGUGUCCACAUUCCUGAGCUCCACCCUGUGAAGCAGUAAAGCACAAGCCCCAAUAAAUUUGAUCCGUGCACCACAUUCUUGCACCAAGCUUCCCCCGACCAUAUGCUUGAGAAACAUCUCCAAGAAGCAGACAAGGCAGUCUGGCGGUACCUGGCCCCGUGCACACGCGUCGUGCAGCUCCUUGAAUCUAUCAGCAUCACUAGCCAAUUCAAAGGCAAUGUUUUUGAAGCCCCGCAGCGAGACAGUCAUAAACCAGGUGCCAAACUCUAAAACUGAUCUCCACUUGCUCUCAGAUACCAAGCUUCUCCAAUACUGGCACAUCCUCAUCUCUGCUUGUGUUGUGGCUUGCAACUGGCCGUAGUCUGAAAUGCUGGUGUACAGAUAACUCAGCUUCUUUUUACAUUCAGGUGUGCAUUGCCAUGCCUCCAACGCCAUCGUAAACUCUAUCAUCUCAGCUUGGGGGAAGAAAGCCUUGGGAGGGCGUAGCUCUGAGAGAGGCUUCACUUCCAUAUCUUGCCUGUUCAGCCGCCGCUCCAGCACGCUUCCCUUCUGCAAUCUAUUUCCUACCACCUUUCUAAUCUCAUGCUUGGAUAUCCCCUCCCAGGAACCAUACGCCAACACAUCCAGCGACUGUUGGAUUUGGAUGGAAUCCCCCUUGUUCUUCUUCAGUGCCUCCAAAGCUAUCGCAGCCAUCAUCAGAUCUGUGGAGCAUGUUCUAUUUUUAUAGCUUGGAUCGUUAAAAGGUACUUUGUUCCAGGCGAGGGGUGGAGAUCAAUCGCAGCUUGUUUGCCAUGAGCAACGUCAAUCCAUAUUGCUCGUUGCAUUCUCACCGCUGGGCUCUCUCCACUCGAAUCCAUGGAGGAGGUUGGCGAGCGUGAGAUGGACAGUGGUGAGUGCCAGUGCCAUUCCCGGGCAUUGUCGCCGCCCCGAUCCAAACGGCACUGCCUCGAAGUCCCUGCCCCGGAUGUCCAGAUCCGUGCCAAGGAAUCUCUCGGGCCGGAAGAGCAGCGCAUCGUCACCCCAGGCGGAAGAGUCUCUGGCGAUGGCAUAGGCGUUGAUGAGCACCGUCGAAGAAGAGGGGCAACAAAGGCGCCAGUCCCGGAAUCCAGCUCGGAUCAGGCGCAAGGUGUGGCGAUGGCGGGAGAGGAGGAGGAGGAGGCGGUGAGCAAGGUAGUGGAAUGGCCAGAGGAUGGAGGAUUGACGCGAGACCCUGGCGGAGGCGGCCUCCAUGCUGAGGACGCAAGCACUGCGCCAGGUAGUGCCAGUCGCGGUCGCCGAUUCACUCAUUGCCAGGGCUUCCAAGAUCAUGCAGAGACAGUCACAAACCAGGUGCCAAACUCUAAAACUGAUCUCCACUUGUUCUCAGAUACCAAGCUUCUCCAAUACUGGCACAUCCUCAUCUCUGCUUGUGUUGUGGCUUGCAACUGGCUGUAGUCUGAAAUGCUGGUGUAGAGAUAACUCAGCUUCUUUUUACACUCAGGUGUGCAUUGCCAUGCCUCCAACGCCGUCGUAAACUCUAUCAUCUCAGCUUGGGGGAAGAAAGCCUUGGGAGGGCGUAGCUCUGGGAGAGGUUUCACUUCCAUAUCUUGCCUGUUCAGCCGCCGCUCCAGCACGCUUCCCUUUUGCAAUCUAUUUCCUACCAACUUUCUAAUCUCAUGCUUGGAUAUCCCCUCCCAGGAACCAUACGCCAACACAUCCAGCGACUGUUGGAUUUGGAUGGAAUCCCCCUUGUUCUUCUUCAGUUCCUCCAAAGCUUUCGCAGCCAUCAUCAGAUCUGUGGAGCAUGUUCUAUUUUUAUAGCUUGGAUCGUUAAAAGGUACUUUGUUCCAGGCGAGGGGUGGAGAUCAAUCGCAGCUUGUUUGCCAUGAGCAACGUCAAUCCAUAUUGCUCGUUGCUCGUGUCGAUACUCUCACCGCUGGGCUCUCUCCACUCGAAUCCAUGGAGGAGGUUGGCGAGCGUGAGAUGGACAGUGGUGAGUGCCAGUGCCAUUCCCGGGCAUUGUCGCCGCCCCGAUCCAAACGGCACUGCCUCGAAGUCCCUGCCCCGGAUGUCCAGAUCCGUGCCAAGGAAUCUCUCGGGCCGGAAGAGCAGCGCAUCGUCACCCCAGGCGGAAGAGUCUCUGGCGAUGGCAUAGGCGUUGAUGAGCACCGUCGAAGAAGAGGGACAACAAAGGCGCCAGUCCCGGAAUCCAGCUCGGAUCAGGCGCAAGGAGUGGCGAUGGCGGCAGAGGAGGAGGUGGUGAGCAAGGUAGUGGAAUGGCCAGAGGAUGGAGGAUUGACGCGAGAAUGGGUAAUCGGCGUGGGCGAGACCCUGGCGGAGGCGGCCUCCAUGCUGAGGACGCAAGCACUGCGCCAGGUAGUGCCAGUCGCGGUCGCCGAUUCGCUCAUCGCCAGGGCUUCCAAGAUCAUGCACAAGGAGCCCAAUUGCUUGCGCCUGGAGCCGCCACGGUCGAGCUCCAGUAGCAUCGUCCUGGUGGGCGAUUUGCACGGCCAGCUCCAUGAUUUGCUCCAUCUCUUUGAUCUGGCCGGCCUCCCCGACGAGGAACGAAUGUUUGUGUUUAACGGGGACUAUGUGGAUCGAGGAGUGUGGGGAUUCGAGACUUACUUUCUCCUCCUUGCUUGGAAGGUAUGAUCUCAGAAUCACGUUUUCUUUUUUACUUCUUUCUGGUGGUAGUGAAAGGUGGUAUUGUUCUUACUUUUUUUCUUCAGGUAUUGCUACCUCACCGAGUUUUUCUUCUGCGAGGAAACCACGAGACAAAGUUCUGUACGAGCGUCUACGGCUUCGAGAAAGAGAUCUCCGUCAAGUUUGGGGAGCAUUCCAAGCAUUUCUACCGCAAGCUCUUGGGAUGCUUCGAGGGCCAUCCUCUGGUGGCGGUGAUAGCCGGCAAAGUUUUCAUGGCACACGGUGCCUUGUUCCGGAGCUUGGAACCGGGGCCUUCUACGCGAUCUUUCUUGGUGAGAGCUGCUGCUAAGCUCAAGCUGGGUGAUCUGGACGACCUUGCAAAGUCGAGAAGAGGCGUGCUGGAUCCGUCGGCCGUGGGAAACAACGUGAUACCGGGUGAUAUCUUGUGGUCCGACCCAUCUCCAAACCCGGGGCUUGCGAGCAACGAAGGGCUUGUUUUUGGACCGGAUUGUACUCAAGAGUUUAUGGACAAGCACAAGCUAAAGGUAAGGUGGUGUUUUGCGUCGUUUGCUCACGAUCAUUGGGAUUGUUCGGCAGUGCAGCUUAUAGUGAGAUCUCACGAGGGGCCGGAUGCGAGACAGAAGCGUCCUGAGAUGGCGAGCAUGGACAAAGGCUACACGAUCGACCACGUUGUCAAGGCUGGAAAGCUCAUCACUCUGUUCAGUGCUCCCGACUAUCCUCAGUUUCAGGUUGGCCUUCUUCAUUUCGUGUUUUCUUUCUUCGUAAAUGCAACAAAGUUUCGAUUGUCAACAAUGGCAGGCGACCGAAACUCGUUUUAACAACAAAGCAGCCUACAUUGUUUUGGAACCACCGGAUUUUUGCGAGCCCGACAUUUGUGUUUUUGAGGCGGUCCUCCCGCAGCCACAUGUAAGCAAUUUCAUUUUGAUACUUCCAUCCACCGCUUUGGUUGCUUUUCCGCAGGUUAUGCCAUAUUACGAUCAUGUUAAUGUUAUGGAUUCAGACGACGAGCUAGAUCUGCCAAAAGACGGAUAAAAAAAAUCUAGAAAAAUGCCACGACUGCCACCUUUGAGGUCCUCGUGGGCGUUGGUCGUAGGAGUCAAGAUCAUUCGUGACAAUAUAUUUCGGAGUGAGAGCUGCAAGAGAGCUGCGACAAGGAGAAAAUGGCGAGUGAUUUUGUUUUGGUUGUGGCGGCAGCACUAUCGAUCACUGCUGUGCUAUGGAAGCUAUGGAAGAGUAGAAUUAAAUCGUCUCUUCUUCCUCCAGGUCCCAUUGGGCUUCCACUGAUCGGCCAUCUCCACUUGCUCUUUGCAAAUCCUCCGCACACCGUGCUCCAGAGGCUGUCGGCUCGUCAUGGACCGAUCAUGUCGCUGCGAUUCGGGCAUGUGCCAGUGGUUGUCGCCUCCAGCCCAGCAGCCGCCAAGGAGUUCCUCAAGACCCACGACGCCGCCUUUGCGUCUCGCCCGCUGAGCGCCGCCGGGAGGAUCAUCGUCCACUACAACGCCGACAUCGUUUUCGCCCCUUAUGGCGACUCGUGGCGGCACUUGCGCAAGAUCGCGACGCUGGAACUCCUCACAGCUCGCCGGAUUGACAUGUUUCGGAGUGCGAGAAUGGAAGAAGUAAGAUCCAUGUGCCGAUCGCUACUAGUAGCAGAUGAUCGUGAGACGGGGAUUGUGGAUGUUCGUGGGCGAGUGACAGCGCUCACCUUCAAUCUCAUCACUUUCAUGCUCAUGGGCAAGAUCUCAUCACUUUCAUGCUCAUGGGCAAGCGUUAGUUUGGCAAGGACACUGAAAAUGAGGAGGGGGCGAAAAAUUUUUUGGAAGUGAUUGCGGGCACGUUUGAAGUAUGUGGAGAGUUUCCAAUCGAGGAUUACUUCCCGUGGCUCCCCAAGUUUUUGGAUCCGGCAGAACAUCGUAUGCAUUCCCUAGCUAAAUCCUUGCACGAGUUCCUCGGGGACAACAUCUCCGAGCACGAGAACAAGAGAAAGAACAACAAGAAGAAUAACACUGACGAGGAUUUCUUAGACAUCCUCCUCUCUCUGAGAGACAAUGGUGACAAGCAUCUACAAAACGAAAACAUCAGAAGUGUCAUGACAGUAAGAAGAAGAGUUUAUCAAUUCGAUCAAUCAGUCUCAUCACUUGCAAUCUUUUUCUUGGCAGAACUUGGUCACGGCCGGAACCGACACCUCAGCAGUGACGCUCGAGUGGGCGAUGGCCGAGUCAAUCAAAAACCCCACCAUCGCCGCCAAAGCCCGAGAAGAAAUCGAGCUAGUUCUCGGUGAGAAGUGGAGGACGAAGAUGGUGGAAGAGCCUGAUCUUUCACAGCUAACUUAUCUCCAAGCCAUCGUCAAGGAGACACUCCGGCUGCAUCCUGCGGGACCGCUGCUGGUCCCCCACCAAUCCACCGAGGCGGUUAGCAAUGUAAUGGGGUACCAUGUACCACGCGGCACGACGGUGCUCAUCAAUGCCUACGCCAUCGCCAGAGACUCUACCGCCUGGGGUGACGACGCGCUGCUCUUCCGGCCCGAGAGAUUCCUUGGCACGGAUCUGGACAUCCGGGGCAGGGACUUCGAGGCUGUCCCGUUUGGAUCGGGGCGGCGACAAUGCCCGGGAAUGGCACUGGCGCUCACCACUGUCCAUCUCACGCUUGCCAACCUCCUCCAUGGAUUCGAGUGGAGAGAGCCCAGCGGUGAGAGCAUCGACACGAGCAAGGAGCAGUAUGGAUUGACGCUGCUCUUGGCAAAGAAGCUGCGACUGAUCGCCACCCCACGGCUAGAACAAGGUACCUUAUAGCUCCGAUCGAAAGAAAGCUUGGAAGAAUAGCUUCCAUGAAUAAGAAAGAAACCACGAACUUUUGGCACAAUUUGUAAGUAUUAAAUAUUCUGAAGAAAUUGUUGAAAACUUGGAAAAGAAUAGACUAAGAGUUAAUUUGAUUUCCAAGUGUGAUUGAAGCUCUUGUUAAUGUUCAGCUUAUCAGCGGCUUGACAACAUCUACGUUAGUGCUUGCAACGUGCAUAGCUAGUAAGGGGUUGGCAGAAUCUGCAUUCUUGUUCUUCCUUGCAGCCCGCAUAGAUUGGAGCAAGGGAUUGGACAAGUUGCACUCCAAUGACAAGAAGUCCAAAAGCUUAUCUUCAUCUUCGCUUAGAAGCGUUGUGGUGCUCUCCAACAACAGCUUCCAGCAGGUGUCCACAUUUCUGAGCUCGACUCCGUGAAGCAGUAACGCACAAGCCCCAAUGAAUUUGAUCCGUGCACCACAUUCUUGCACCAAGCUUCCCCCGACCAUAAGCCUGAGAAACAUCUCCAAGAAGCAGACAAGGCAGUCUGGCGGUCAUGCACACGCAUCGUGAAGCUCCUUGAAUAUUCUAUCAGCAUCACUAGCCAGUUCAAAUGGAAUGUUCUUGAAGCCCCGGAGCGAGACGGUCAUAAACCAGCAAACUCUAAAACUGAUCUCCACUUUCUCUCAGAUACCAAGCUUCUCCAAUGCUGGCGCAUCCUCAUCUCCGCUUGCAACUGGCCGUAGUCUGAAAUGCUGGUGUAGAGAUAACUCAGCUUCUUUUUACACUCAGGUGUGCAUUGCCAUGCCUCCAAUGCUGUCGUAAACUCUAUCAUCUCAGCUUGGGGGAAGAAAGCCUUGGGGAGGGCAUAGCUCUGGGAGAGGCUUCAAUUCCAUAUCUUGCCUGUUCAGCCGCUGCUCCAGCACACUUCCCUUUUGCAAUCUACUUUCUAAUCAGGAGCCAUACGCCAACACAUCGAUUUGGAUGGAAUCCCCCUUUGUCUCCAAAGCUUUUUUAGCCAUCAUCAGAUCUGAUCCUUUAGGGUUUGGAGCAUGUUUUAUUUUUAUAGCUGACUGCUUAAUCGUUAAAAGGUACUUUGUUCCAGGCGAGGGGUGGAGAUCAAUCGCAGCUUGUUUGCCAUGAGCAACGUCAAUCCAUACUGCUCCUUGCUCGUGUCGAUGCUCUCACCGCUGGGUUCUCUCCACUCGAAUCCAUGGAGGAGGUUGGCAAGCGUGAGAUGGACAGUGGUGAGCGCCAGUGCCAUUCCCGGGCAUUGUCGCCGCCCUGAUCCAAACGGCACCGCCUCGAAGUCCCUGCCCCGGAUGUCCAGAUCCGUGCCAAGGAAUCUCUCGGGCCGGAAGAGCAGCGCAUCGUCACCCCAGGCGGAAGUGUCUCUGGCGAUGGCGUAGGCGUUGAUGAGCACCGUCGUGCCGCGCGGUAUGUGGUACCCCAUGACGUUGCUAACCGGCUGCGUGGAUUGGUGGGGGACGAGCAGUGGUACUGCCGGAUGUAGCCGGAGUGUCUCCUUGACGAUGGCUUGGAGAUAUGUUAGCUGUGAGAGGUCGUGCUCUUCCACCAUCUUCGUCAUCCACUUCUCGCCAAGAACUAACUCGAUCUCUUCUCGGGCUUUGGCGGCGAUGGUGGGGUUUUUGAUCAACUCGGCCAUCGCCCACUCGAGCGUCACUGCUGAGGUUUCAGUUCCGGCCGCGACCAAGUUCUGCCAAGAAAAAGAUCGUGAGUGAUGAGCUACUGAUUGGUCGAAUUGAGAAACUUUUCUUACUGUCAUAACACUUAUGAUAUUUUUGUUUUGUAGUCGCUCGUCGCCAUUGUCUCUCAGGGAAAGGAGGAUGUCCAAGAAAUCAUCUUCGGUGCUAUUUUUCUCACUGUUAUUUCUCUUGUUCUCGUGCUCGGAGAUGUUGUCCCCAAGGAACUCGUGCAAUGAUUUAGCCAGGGAAUGCAUACGAUGUUCUGCCGGAUCUAAAAACUUGGGGAGCCACGGGAAAUAAUCCCCGAUUGGAAACUCUCCACAUACCUCAAAUGUACCCGCAAUCACUUUCAGAAACUUCCUUGCCCCCUCAUCGUUCUCUGCGUCCUUGCCAAAGUAGCGCUUGCCCAUGAGCAUGAAAGUGAUGAGAUUGAACGUGAGUGCCGACAGUCGCCCACGAACAUCCACGAUCCCCGUCUCGCAAUUGUUCACCCCUAGUAGCGAUUGGCACAUGGAUCUUACCUCUUCCAUUCUCGCGCCCUGAAACAUGUCAAUCCGGCGAGCUGUGAGGAGCUCCAGUGUCGCGAUCUUGCGCAAGUGCCGCCACGAGUCGCCAUAGGGGGCGAAAGCGAUGUCAGCGUUGUAGUGGACGAAGAUCCUCCCGACGGCGCUCAGUGGGCGAGAUGCAAAGGCGGCAUCGUGGGUCUUGAGGAACUCCUUGGCGGCUGCUGGGCUGGAGGCGACAACCACUGGAACAUGCCCGAAUCGCAGUGACAUGAUCGGUCCAUGGCGAGCCGACAGCCUCUGGAGCACGGUGUGUGGAGGAUUUGCAAAGAGCAAGUGGAGAUGGCCGAUCAGUGGAAGCCCAAUGGGACCUGGGGGAAGAAGAGACGUUUUAAUUCUACUCUUCCAUAGCUUCCAUAGCACAGCAGCGAUCAAUAGUGCUGCCGCCACAACCAAAACAAAAUCACUCCCCAUUUCCUCUUCUCAGCUCUAUCGCUCAGCUGAAGAUAUAUUUGUUUCAGCAUAAAAGUUGACAACUAUAAAAGACACGAAAAUGGAUCUUUUCCUCAUUUCGCGAUCCCGUUCCGAGGCCCGCCAGCCCAGCCGGCCCCACGUUGUUGGAGCGUCAGUGUCGGAAAGCUUUGAUCCAUCAAUCAGCUUAAUAGGCAAUUGCUCAACAAUUAAGGUUCUAUAAAAUUAAGUUCUAUGUGAUAACCAUCGGAUUUUUUUAUCAUGGAAAUGGUAGAAAGUCCACCGUUUUUUUGGCUUUUCCAAUUUGUCAUGGAUUCCGACAUCGUAGCCUAUCAAAACAAUAUACACAUUUUUGUGUUAACAAUCGCAUGUCAUUGUUGACAGAGCCAAUCUUUUUCCCAAAGUUAUGGAUCCAAAUCACGAAAUGAGCUUGUCCCCAACACUUGCAUUAUUAGCUAAUUGUAUUAUUGUGUAAUUCUCUGGAGAUGAAUAGUAGCAAAGUUUAGAUAAGUCCUUGAAUCAUGUUCUUGCUCUUCAUUAACUAGCUCCGAUCCAAAAAUUUAAAGCUUGGAAGAAUAAUCGACGAAACUGCAAAUCCAAACCGAGGCUCGCCAUCGCGAAAGUAACUGCGUGCCUCAUGUACUCGGGGAAACGAUCCGGACGUAGCUCGUUCUGGAAGAUGUGAAGGCGAGGUUCCUUGGUAACCACGGCCACCUUGCACUUCACAUAGCGAGCGCCAAGACCAAGACGUCCUCGUCCUCCACGUAGGGACACAUUUGCGAAGGCGAGGUCGUGUGACGGCCAUCGCCCUUGGAGCACGAAACAUCGUAGUCGUGUAGCUUGAGCACUCGUUCAUGGAAGACGAUCAUGUUGUCCGGCUUGACAUUGCGAUGGAGCACUCCUUUGCUGUGAAGGUGUCGCAGUCCAGCGUAGGCUUGCUUCCACAUCCUCUCCGUGGCCUCCAAGCCAGGGACGUGCUGCGCGGACAAGGACUCCCCGUGCCCUUCCAGCCCUGCGAACUUCUGCAUGGAAAUGGAACACGCCCUGCGAACUUCCAAGGUCCACUGUCCCGUGAUCGACGAGGCCCCGGGUGAAUCCGCGUCUCGUUGCUAGCAUCCUCCCGCAAGCACACCUCGACGACAGUCCCCUUCCUUCUCCUCAAGAGAACAAGCGACUUGUGGCCGUGAGCCAGGAAAGAGAGCUCCGAGGCGUGGAUCUCUUUUUACGGGGAUGAUCCCACCAAGGGCACAAUCGAAGGUGGCAGUCCAAACAGUCGCUGGAUCUCUUCCACGUAAGAAACCAGCGAGCGAAACCCGGCCGUGGGCUCCGCUGGAAGAACGUCGCUCAGGGUGACACUCCCUUGCUCGCACGCAUCCAGCCACCUCAGUUUCAUGAGCAUGAAAUCCUCCUCCUUGGACGAUUGAUCCGGCACUGGAAGAAACGAUGUUACUUGCACGGUGUUGGUUUCACGCCAGAGUUUGACGACGAAGAACCUGUCCAUGCGCGAGAACAGGCAGCCGAUACGAGCACUGCCCAUCGUCCGCUCGAUUCCCUGGCGUAGAGCCGUGAUAUCCAACACGUUUCCAUGAGGAUCUCAGUGGAGCUCUCGCAGAUUGAGCUCUCGCA